AAGGAAUAUUGGUCAAUGCCCGCAAGGGUGAACCAGCCAUUCCGCGUGGAGGAUGAAGGCCCUAUGGGUUGUAAACUUCUUUUAGAUGGGAAGAAAAUGCUAGAUGUAUCUGGUACUGACGGUACCAUCAGAAUAAGCACCGGCUAACUCCGUGCCAGCAGCCGCGGUAAUACGGAGGGUGCGAGCGUUAUCCGGAAUUACUGGGUUUAAAGGGUGCGUAGGCGGAUGAUUAAGUCUAAGGUGAAAGUUUGUCGCUUAACGAUAAAAUUGCCUUGGAUACUGGUUAUCUUGAAUAAGGAUGAGGAUGGCGGAAUGUGGCAUGUAGCGGUGAAAUGCAUAGAUAUGCCAUAGAACACCAAUUGCGAAGGCAGCUAUCUGGUCUUUUAUUGACGCUGAGGCACGAAAGCGUGGGGAUCGGAC
rnacentral:rRNA from 1 species